UACAGAUGAGACACACGUGUGUUUAUCUGCUGUAGAGUAACUGAUGAAGGAAUGCUACCAUCAAAGGAUUUGUAUCUUUUGUGGUGGAGCAGGACCUGCAAGGAAAGGUGAAAAAGAGGGAAAACCUGAAACAAAAGAAUAAUGUAGUCGUGCUCAUGGGGUGCAGGCACACGAAAGUUUGGAGCAGACACAGCAGUCAGAUUGUCCUGCACGUGUUCCCCUGCUCUAGCUUCAAGGUUGUGUGUUUCAGAGAGCCGUCAUCAAGGUCUUCCUCAUCCUGUUGCUCAACGACAUCCCUGUUGAGAAGAGUGAGAUUGUGAAGUGCAGCGGCAGAACUGUAUCAGCUGUGUUCAGAUGGCAGGAGGAUCACUGUGUCACAAAAGAAAAUACAUUUGGCUUCUUUUACUAAAAUGUAAUUUUAAGAAAAAAAAAUUAUAUAAUUAUUGGUUGGCAUUUAUCGUUAUUAUUGCAUGGUAAAUGUUGGGGUGGGCAAAAGAUGCAAUUCAUUAUGGGGUAAUGUUAAUUUUCGAGUAGUAAUACUUACAUUUUUAGAGUAUCAAAUCAACAGUCUUCUCCAAAGAUGAGAUCUUCAAGCAGCUGAUCGAAGUACCCUUUGUGCAGAUAUUGCAGUCGCUGUGAGGUGUUUGUGCACCUGACCCACUUUUUUAUUAUUAUUGCCAAAUUAUUACAUAAAAGAUCAUGGUAAGAGGUUGUAUCUGACAAUAAACAAUCAUAAUGCCAUAAAACAGUAA